rnacentral:lncRNA from 1 species
CUUUUUCUCAUUCAAAGAGAGGUAAGAUCAUAAGUGAAUGAAAUAGUUUAAUCAAAAUGAAAGUAGAGAUAAGUAUGAAUGUGUCAUGGUUUUAGACUAAAAUGUGAAAAUAGAUUUUUAUGGUAUUUUGGUGAACAUUUAAAUGAAAAGUUGACUUAAAUGGUGGAAAAAGACAAAGUUAACAAAGUUAAUAAUUUGAUAAGGAAAAUGAUAAGUAUAACAUAAAAAUGAGCAAG